rnacentral:rRNA from 1 species
UACAGAGGUCCCAAGCGUUGUUCGGAUUCAUUGGGCGUAAAGGGUGCGUAGGUGGCGUGGUAAGUCGGGUGUGAAAUUUCGGAGCUUAACUCCGAAACUGCAUUCGAUACUGCCGUGCUUGAGGACUGGAGAGGAGACUGGAAUUUACGGUGUAGCAGUGAAAUGCGUAGAGAUCGUAAGGAAGACCAGUGGCGAAGGCGGGUCUCUGGACAGUUCCUGACACUGAGGCACGAAGGCCAGGGGAGCAAACGGG